rnacentral:lncRNA from 1 species
UUCAUUACACAUUGCAACAAGCAGCGUACAACAACUCAAAAACAUAGGGGUGGGCAUUCGGUUUUUCGGUUCGGUUCGGUUUUUUUUUUGGUUUUUUCGGUUUUCGGUUUUUAUAAAUUGCGUACCGAAUACCGAACCGAAAUAUUUCGGUUCGGUUUUUAUUAAUUCGGUUCGGUUUUUUAAUGGGCCUGUUUAAUUCGUCCGGCGGCUGGCUGACUGCUGACUGCUGCACGUCCGGCGGCUGGCUGCUGCUGAGUGUUGUCGCGGCUGGCUGCUGCUGUCUGCGGCUGGCUGCUGCUGUGCUGCUGGCGGGCGGCGGCUGGUUGCUGCUGUGCUGCUGGUUGCGGCUGGCUACUGCUUCCCUUGUUGUUGCUGGCGCCUGGCGGUGCUUCAGGGAAGACAAGAGUGGUUGGAGACUUGGAGUAGAAGAGGAAGAGAGAAAUGAAGAGGAAGAAGUCAAGAAGAUGAGGAGUGAAUUGAAAAAAUCUGGUAGAAAGAGAAAGAGUCAAAAGUAGGGUAUUAGGGUUUUUACUUUUUUUUAAAAAAAAUAUUUAAUAUUAAUAAUUAUUAAUUAAUAUAAUAUAAUUUAUAAAUUAUUAAAUUAUAGCAUAAAAUUUUGGUUUAAACCGAAAUACCGAAUUCCAACGUAAUAUGUACCGAAAACCGAACCGAAAUACCGAAAAAUACAAAAUAUUAAACCGAAUACCAAACCGAAAACCGAAAUACCGAAACCGAAAUUCUAAAAAAAUUCGGUUCGGUUCCGUGUUUCGGUUUUUCGGUGUUUAUGCCCACCCCUACAAAAACAUAUAUCCGACCUGACCCUCUACUGUUCUUCUUCCUCCUAGCGGAAAAUCGCGAACGACAACCUAGCAUCCCGUACCCGGCUCUGCGUCCCUCCCGUCUUGUCCUUUUUCUCUCAUACUCAAAUCGUGUGGUGUCUCGAUCUCAGCAUCUUACUCGUCCUUGCUCUCCAAAUCGACGGCCUCCAUUGUUGAUGAAAUUGGUACUAUUCAAGCUUUCAACCUUAUCUUCAAAGGAUUUUUAAUUUCAAAUUUUAAAUCCUUGUCCUUAUCUAUGCGAUUUCCCCCUCUCUUUUUUUUUUAAUUCUAGUUAUUCCCCUAUUUAUAGAACCCUCGUCUUAUUUGUUUGGUUAGACAAAAAAGUUGGAAAAACUAAUGUUAGAAACAAUGGAAAAGAACCAAACAAAUAAAUGCUAUUAAUUUUUAAGAGUUUCGUUUGGGUUAUUCAAGUCUUUCUUUGAAGCCUUUGAGUGUGUGAGGUGUUGGAAGAAGCUCAACGUCUCCUCUUCUUGUUAUUGUCCAGUUCGCUGCUCGAAAAAAGGUAACAUCCCUCACACCUCCAUAUUCUAUUUUACAAUACUCAUUCUAUAUGUUGUUCUGUUUCAUGAUCCUUAUUCAGUUGUAAAGUUCUUCUUUUUGGAAUUUUAGUAUUUCAAAAUAUUGGCCUGAUUAGUUCCUUCUAUUCUUGACUUCGAAAUGGUCUCUCUUGUUCAUCAUGGUGUUUUAUUAAUUUUGGAUAUGUAUUGGUCCUUCUAUGGUGAGGAUGUGAAUAUUUUCUAUGCGUUGUAUUCAUGUGUUUGGCUUGUUAAAAACAUAUAUAAUAAAUUGUAGUCCAUUGAUUAUACUUAUUUCAAUCCUUGAAAAUCUAUAGUCACUUAGCUAUUUUACCAAGUUGAAAUGCUUAGUUGUUGGUUGAAAUGUGUUGGUUGUUAUUAAUAGAUUCAUUAUUCUAUUUAGAUUUAUAUAAAAUAAUGAUGUUAAUUUAGUUAUUGGGUAUACAUGAAGAAUGAUCAUACGCAAAUAUGAAUCUUUAUGGUUUAGUUUUUAUUCCUUUAAGUGUUGUUGAGAAUUUUAACACUUCCUUUAAUAUCCAUUAGUUAUUUGUCUGUUCAUUAUUAGAAAAUAAGCAUGUAAUAUUGUUCUUUGAAACAUGAUGUUCAUUACAAUUAAAUUUUAUUGCAAAUUUUUUCUUUCCUUAAUUUUAAUGUUUCAUGAUCACUUAUAGCUUGAAAUGUGCAAGAAUUUUAUUAUGUUUGUCUUUAGUUUUAAACUGUAUCAUAUUAUUCCCUCUCCAUAUGAUUACUCAAUUUUCUUUGGAUUUUUAGAACUAUUAAGUGUAUUGACUAUUGUUUAUUUCCACUUUAUAAAUAUUUUCUACUCUAGUUUUGGGUGGUGUGUGUACUCCAUUUAAAAUUUGAAAGUCUCACCUUGUAACAAUCAUAAGAUAAGUAAUGUUUACCGUGUGUAGAAUGCCUAUGAUUAGACCAGGUUUACACGGAUUGAUGCACGUAAAACAAGACCUCGGAACCCUUGCUACAUCCAAGCCAACUAAAUUGGGGAGUUAGUUGAUCUUGGAAAUGUUGGAUCCAACCAUGUAGGGCUCUCGAAUACGAAGAUUUACUUGAAUGAGUCUUUACUGGACAUAAAAAGAGGAUAUCUUAGGUUUGGAGGGUUUAGGAGUAAAAUGGUCUUUUUCCAUGCUAAGGGUAAUAUCGUAAUUACCCUAAAAAUAUAAUUAAUUAUUUAAUUAAUAAAGUGGAGGAGCAACUUAGGGAAACAAGGUCGAAAUUGAGCCCUUGAAGUGAAGUCUUGCCCCACAAGGGUUGGAACCUAGGUGGGAGCAAUGAUUUAAUGUGAUUUUUUUAAUUCAGGAAUUAAUUUAAUAAUUUAGUAAUUAAUGAAUGAUUUAAAAAGGAAAAUCAGAUUUUAUUAUUAAUUAUUAUUUAUUUAUUAGUUAAUGUAUUUUUAUGCCAAAGUCUCCUACUUGACUAAGUCUAAACUACUUCACCUCUUUUAACUCUCUCUCACGCUCAUCUCUCUAAAGUUUCUUCACUCUUUUCACGUUCUCUCUGCUAAAAAAACACAAGAACUGAUCAGCAACUAAAUGUUCUUGACAUUGGUAGAACAUUCACGCUUAAAACUUAUUCAGACAUAGCCAAAAACGUUAGGCAAAGAUAAGAGUUUUCCCAUCGGGUUAGUGUUGACGCUUUUGGACUUAGACCCGUUCUUCCGAGGAGCUUUUGGUUUGCAAGUCAAGGGUUUAAGGUCAAAAAUGUUUGAGUUUUCUUAUCUCUUGGUUACUUUACCAAGAUGCCCCUUAAGGUUCAUAUUAUUCAUUCGUAAACUAGGAUUGUUUCCCCUUUUGACUGCCAUGUCACUAGCUCCCAAUGAAUCAUAGGUUGCGUAUGAUUUCUAGUAGAUUUAGGUGUAUGUUAUGUUUUCGUGAUGAAUAUGAUUAUGUUUGUGUAAUUGAUAUUGUAUGAAAUACAACCAUGUAUUCGGAAGUUUGUGCAAGUAUGUGCAUGUGCAGAAUAUUACUGUGAAUGAGGUCUCGGGUCAAGGCUUUAAGUUUGAUAUUGUUUUGGUUGUCAUUUUACGUGCAUAAACCUAUGUAAAUCAUGAUGUUCAUUAAAAUUGAAGUGGGACUGAUUUGAGUAUCAAUAUUUUGUCUAAACGAAUCCAUGAAAUACACCCCAAAAAGUGUUACAUGAUCCAUAAAUUUUCCUAUGUUUUCAAGUGGAACUAUUGGUGAGGGCUUAGGUGUCGUUCUACCAUCACCGGCGCUAGCACUGAUGCAGCGUCGUCUCAGCCGCUGCGGCGAACUACCGGCGGCGGAGAAAGAAAGAAGUGCAGCUGCCGAAUGAAUCGCCCACAGGAGAUUCGAUUGAGGAAACACAAUCAUUUUAAUUGAAACUGAAUUGUUUAAUAAGUUUUGAAUUUCCAAAUACUAAGUUCCCUAAUUUUCAAUCAGGGUAUUAUAUGCAUGCAACAUAUGUUACGUGUCCGGUUGAACUUUUUUUUAAAUCAUAUUAGUUUUAUUUUUUUUAGUUCUUUCCUUUUAAAUAAUUUAAGAAAAUAAGAUAAGAAAAUCAUUAAGUUUCCCGCAGAAAUUAUAAGGUUAGUUUAGGCUAAAGUAUAAAGGAGUAAAUCUGGAAAUUUAAUUGAUUUUAAAGGGAUGAGGCCAUAAGGAUUCGAACCUGUGACCUCACCCGUCAGAUACCUUUAACUCACAACAAAAAAAUAGGGUCAGGGGGAUUCGGAAUGGUGUAUACUGGCUGAGAAAGGAGAAUGCAAAAAAUUAUAUAAAUAAAAUGGAAGGCGUGGGAAUCGAACCCACGACCUCCAGGCAGGGAAUAAAGUGAAAGAAAAAUAAAAUAAAGGAAAUGUGAGGCAUGGGAAUCGAAGCCACGACCUCAAGGUUGUGAAGGACAAAGGAAAUUAAAAGAAAAUAAAUUGAGGUUGUGGGUGUUCGAUAAGUAAAAAUUUAAAUGAAAAUAAAAUAAGGAGGCUGUGGGGGUUCGAACCCACAACCUCUUAGUCUCUAGCGAAAUAAAGAAAAAUAAAGAGAGGCUGUGGGGGUUUGAUCCCACAACCUCCUGGUUGAUGUGAAAUGAACAAGAAAAAUAAAUAGGAAAAAAAAGAGGGUUGUGGGGGUUUGAACCCACAACCCCUUGGCCAAGGGAGAGAAUUUCUAAAGAAAAGGAACUAAAAAGAAAUGUUAGUGUUGGGGCUCGAUCUAGGGUCCUAAUGUCAUGAUAAAUAAAAAUAAAAUCAAGGAAAAAUGUAAGUUUUGUCUAAGGGAUUCCAACUUGGGUUCCCUUGCCCAAAUUUCCAUAUUGAUACAUAAGUCAUACGUGAAUUAAAUGUUCAAAAAUAAUGCCACCUACUUAGAUCGAAAUCAAGAUCUUGGCAUACAUACAAGAUACGUAAGUCUUAUACUACAUAAUCUUAGGAAGAUAUGAGUCACUUAACGAACUAUGAAUAAAGCCUCAUGGCUUUUAUGUAUAAACCCAUAACUCUAGCAUACAUUUAAAAAUAAGUGAACCUAAGAAUUGUGUAAUGAAAUGGUGUAACCCUAAAAGGGUUAAGUACGAGUGUAAAACACAGUAAAUUGACAAGUGUAUUGGAAUACGAUGAAAUGAUUAUUAUGUAAUGAAAUGAUAAGACCCUAGAAGGGUUAAGCAAGAGUGUGAAAGACACAAAUGACCAAGUGCAUUGGCAUAUGAUGAAAUGAACAUUCACGUAGAAAUGUGUGAGUAAUUAUGAAGAGCAAAUAUGCUAAUGUUAAUGAAUGUGGUGACAAAAUGAGAAUAGGAUAAUGUAAAAGAUGAGAGCAAUCUCAAAUGAGGCUAAGUAAAUGUUACCAAAACGUACUCACCUAUGAGAAUGUAAAGUUAAUUAAGAGAUCUAUCUCAACGAAAACUCUAAUGAAAAUAUUGAUAUUAACACACUUAAUACUAAUGAUUAGAUGAGAAAUCAUCUAUUGAGCUAUGAUGUCCACAUACUAGAAGCCAGCUUCCAUGACGUAUGAGUUGAAUGUACUUGAACUUUAUACUAACCAAUGAUAGACUAGGUAUGAACGGUGAUGACUUCUUUUGGGGAAGGCGUAGGUUCACGUAACUCUCAUGAGAUAAGACUGUCUGGCAUGCCAGGUAUGAGUCUCCUUAUAUCUCCUAGUCUUUCAACCUAUACUGCCAAUAUAGGGAUUGGGAGAGGUUAAAUUCCCAUGUACGCUAGCAUGUUUUGGGUCACCUUGGACAGUGAUUCCACCUCUUUUCGGUGUGGGUGAGACACUUGAUUUCAUGAUUUUCAUAUGAUCUAUAUCGGUUAAAGUUAAAGUUCCCAAUGAAUGAAUGAGGGCAACCUCAAAUGAUGCACAUAAUGAAAUAAAUGAUACCAAAGGUGUUAUGAUAGGAUAAUCAAGAGGUGAAUUAGACUCAAGUAAUAACACUAGGUUAUUCUUUAUCAUUGCACAUCAAACCCAAUGAAAUUCUUAAACUACAUCAUAGGUAUACGUGGUGUUCACUCUAGCCUAUGAACGAAUUGAAAUGAAGUACAUAUGAAUGAAUGAAGCAGACUCUAUGUUUGUUAAUGAGGACUUCCUAGUAGAGGUCUCAUAUGUUGAACCCUCAUUUUGGAAAGUCUUAUUCUAAAGUCCCUGAUUCCAAGGUCUCAUGGCAUAUGCAUGAAUGCUAUAAAAGAUGUUAUGUGUUAUAUGCAAUAUGAUAUGGUUAAUGUGUAAGAUUUUAUGUUAUAUAUGCAAUAUGAUAUGUGCAAUGUGUAAGAUAUCAUGUGCCGUUUGCAAUAAGAUAAGUAUGAUGAUGCAUGUUACUCUCAUGACAUAACUUUUCUAAUCACAAUUUGGAAUGAUCACUGACUUUCCUAAUCCAAAUUCGGAAAGUUCACUAACUUUGCUAAUCCCAAUUUUACAAGUCCACUGACUUGAGUUUCCAUAAUCAUGUUGUUAGGAAAGAGCUAUUCUUAAUCAUGCAUGUCCUUGGUGUAUGCUUGCAUAUACACAUACUUAGUAAAAGUGUGUUCUAAUCCCAUACAACUCCAUAUUUUUAGGUGCAGACACUGGUGGACGCUAGAGUUUGCAAGUUGACGUGCAGUUAUCAGGACGUGACGCUUUCAUCAGAACUUGGUUGGUCCUUAUGCUUUCGAGGAUGUCUACCUUGAUUAUCUAGCUUAGAUAUAGUCCACUAGUGUUCCUUUCAACUUUUAUUACAUACUUUGUAUUGGUGUCGUUUUGGCAAAAAAACUUUUAAUGCAAUUAUGAACUGUUUCUUUCAUUUGAUUAUCUCUAUAUUAGAUGGUUGAUUUGUCAACACCUAUGAUGUUAAAUUCAAAAUGUUUAUCAUUAAAUAGGAUUUUAUAAAGUUCAAAUUUUCCGCUAAAAAUAACAUAGAUGAAGUGAGAAUGACGCGUGUAGG